GACAGAGGAUGCAAGCGUUAUCCGGAAUGAUUGGGCGUAAAGCGUCUGUAGGUGGCUUUUUAAGUCCGCCGUCAAAUCCCAGGGCUCAACCCUGGACAGGCGGUGGAAACUACCAAGCUGGAGUACGGUAGGGGCAGAGGGAAUUUCCGGUGGAGCGGUGAAAUGCGUAGAGAUCGGGCGGAACACCAGCGGCGAAGGCGGCAUCCUGGCCCUUACCUGACGCUGAGGCGCGAGAGCGUGGGGAGCAAACCGGG
rnacentral:rRNA from 1 species